rnacentral:ncRNA from 1 species
UCAGAUUCCCCGGGGUGCUCCCCCGCCGUGUUGGCGGGGAUGCUGAGAAAAUACCCGUAGAACCUGAUCAGGGUAAUGCCUGCGCAGGGAAGGUAGUUCCGUCAUUC